GCUUCCGUAAAGCCAGAGUCUGCUGACGGUUGCGAGGCUCGGAGCUCAUGGCUGUCUGGGAGAGGCACCGUAGAGAUAGAAAAGAAUUCCGCAGAAAACCAUUGCUGCUUCAUUGAGUAAGAGACAUGCUAUAGGAUUUAUAUGCCGUCCAGAGCACUUCUGGAUGACUUUUGAAAUGCAAUUAUUUUGAACCCCUGGAUAAAAUGGUGUAAUGUACAUGUAAUAAAUAGCAAAUAAAUCUAAAUAAAAUGUAUUGUAGCA